AUGCGGCGGGCUCGGGCCGCGGCGCUGGCCGCGCUGCUCAUCGUGGCUGUGGUCAGAGCCCAGGUACAGCAGGAGCCAUUCAUGGAGACCAGCGAGGGCACCGGCAUCAACAUCACCUGCUCACAUCCCCAAAUCCAGACCAGCGAUUGGAUCCAGUGGUACCGACAGCUCCCGGGCCAAGGACCUGAACUCCUGGCACUCACUAUGAAAGAGUCCAAAGAGCUGCCGGGCAGUGCAGGAUGGCUGUUGGUGUCGGCAGAUCGGAGUUGGAGCUCGCUGUGGCUCGCUGAGCCCCGGCGCGGGGACGCGGCCGUGUAUUACUGCGCGCUGGGGGCCACGGGCACAGGAGCCGGGGCUGCGGCCGGGCACGAACCGCCGCGGGCGGGGCCGGCCGGGGCCAGCAGGGGGCGCUGCCGCUCCGCCCGCCGGGCUCCCGGGCCGCGCCUCCGCAGCUCCUUCCUCUGCCCCGAGCCCGCAGCACCGGCCCCGCACGGCCCCGCACGGCCCCCAACACGCCUCACAACCGCCCCAACCUGCACUCACACAGUCCCCACACACAGCCCGGCCUCUCCACGGGCCGCUCCUUGA